rnacentral:rRNA from 1 species
CCUACGGGUGGCAGCAGUGGGGAAUAUUGCACAAUGGGCGAAAGCCUGAUGCAGCAACGCCGCGUGAGCGAUGAAGGCCUUCGGGUCGUAAAGCUCUGUCCUCAAGGAAGUUAAUGACGGUACGUGAGGAGGAAGCCCCGGCUAAUUACGUGCCAGCAGCCGCGGUAAUACGUCGGGGGCUAGCGUUAUCCGGAAUUACGGGGCGUAAGGGGGGCGUAGGUGGUUUCUUAAGUCGGAGGUGAAAGGCUACGGCUCAACGGUAGUAAGCCGUUGAAACUGGGAAACUUGAGUGCAGGAGAGGUGAGUGGAAUUCCUAGUGUAGCGGUGAAAUGCGUAGAUAUUAGGAGGAACUCCAGUUGCGAAGGCGGCUCUCUGGACUGUAACUGACACUGAGGCACGAAAGCGUGGGGAGCAAACAGGAUUAGAUACCCCAGUAGUC